rnacentral:lncRNA from 1 species
AUCCGGCUACCUGGGAGAAUUCUCCGGGGCACUCAUCUUAGUUAGCUUCCUGUGUGCGCUUAGGGCCUGAACGCAGAGCUCCUGCGCGCAAAGAGGAGGGUUUUCAGCUUUCAUUUACAGGGAAAGCACCCCUGUUCCCACUUGCCUGUCUACACCUGCUGCCUCCGUCUGCGACCAGACCCUGGCAGGGUAAGUCUUUCAACUCUAGCCGUGGGCACAGCCACCCGCCUGACGCAAAUACCCACAGGUAAGUUCUAAAAAGUUUCUUAGCAGCAAAAGCAGAAUUCUGUGAGUCAGAUCCUACUCUAGAUAGACGCGCUGCGCCACCUGCUGGCCAGCACGUGGUUACUACAACGGGAAAUGGAUUUACCAAUAACUAUGGCUACAUUUCCCCUAAAGCUAGACAAGUAUAAUAUCUCUUAUGCUUACAUGCAUUCACUGCUGGAGGAGCAGGCUGACUUACAAAAUAUGGGCUUACAUGUUUUGUUAGCUGUGACUUUCUUGAUUCACGUGUCGUUGUUCCUCAAGAAUAGAAGGAAGGUUGAUAUCUCUACCCACUUGCAGGACAUACAAGCCUUACGUAGCCAAGCUCUAAAUGAAUCAAAACUUACCUAUUCAUCGAUUCUUGAGCUGUUAGAACAAAAACUGGACGAUGGGCUCCAUUCAAUGUUCUAUAAGAUACAGACAGAUCUAUCUACUACUCAAGCUGAAAUGCAGCAUAUUUAUAACAACAUAAAAAUGGACAGAUGCUCCAUCGAGUCUUUAAAGGCCGAUCGGGCAAAGGACCGUGAUGAGAUUCAGGAUGUUAUUCAGCACAUUUAUAACAACAUAAAAAUAGACAGAUGCUCCAUCUUAGAGUCUUUACAAGCCGAUCGGGCAAAGGAUCGUGAUGAGACUCAGGAACUUAUUCAGACCUUACAAGCUAAACAGACUAAAGACCAUGAGGAACUGAAAUCUAGUUUAAGUAUUCUGCAAACAAAACAAACUACAGACCAUGAUGCCUUAAUGGCUAAGCAGGCAGCAGACUAUGAAUCGCUAGAGAUGGCAUGCAGCCGCUUAGAAACUCAGCUAGGCUCUCUCUCCUAUUCCUUUGUCACUAAGGUACAAGAGACCCAGAAUAGGCUUCAACAAUCAGAUAAUGCC